rnacentral:rRNA from 1 species
UACGUAGGCGGAAAAUUAAGUCAGUAGUGAAAUCCUGCAGCUUAACUGUAGAACUGUUAUUGAUACUGGUUUCCUUGAAUAUAGUUGAAGUAGGCGGAAUGUGUAAUGUAGCGGUGAAAUGCUUAGAUAUUACACAGAACACCGAUUGCGAAGGCAGCUUACUAAGCUAUGAUUGACGCUGAGGUACGAAAGCGUGGGGAGCGAACAGGAUUAGAUACCCUGGUAGUCC